CAGUGUGUGUGUACAGUGUGUAGUACAGUGUGUGUACAGUGUGUAGUACAGUGUGUGUACAGUGUGUAGUACAGUGUGUGUGUACAGUGUGUGUGUACAGUGUGUAGUACAGUGUGUGUGUACAGUGUGUGUGUACAGUGUGUGUACAGUGUGUAGUACAGUGUGUGUGUACAGUGUGUAGUACAGUGUGUAGUACAGUGUGUGUACAGUGUGAGUACAGUGUGUAGUACAGUGUGUGUGUACAGUGUGUAGUACAGUGUGUGUAGUACAGUGUGUAGUACAGUGUGUGUGUACAGUGUGUAGUACAGUGUGUGUACAGUGUGUGUACAGUGUGUAGUACAGUGUGUAGUACAGUGUGUAGUACAGUGUGUGUGUACAGUGUGUAGUGUGUAGUACAGUGUGUAGUACAGUGUGUGUGUACAGUGUGUAGUACAGUGUGUAGUACAGUGUGUGUACAGUGUGUAGUACAGUGUGUAGUACAGUGUUACAGUGUGUAGUACAGUGUGUACAGUGUGUAGUACAGUGUGUAGUACAGUGUGUAGUACAGUGUUACAGUGUGUAGUACAGUGUGUACAGUGUGUAGUACAGUGUGUACAGUGUGUAGU